UCCUGGUUAGCUCAGUUGGUGCCGCGCUCCACAGUAAAUGGAGAGGUCCCAGGUUCGGUACCAGGACUGGGUG
rnacentral:tRNA from 1 species